AUUGAACGCUGGCGGCAGGCCUAACACAUGCAAGUCGAGCGGACGAAGGGAGCUUGCUCCUGGAUUCAGUGGCGGACGGGUGAGUAAUGCCUAGGAAUCUGCCUGGUAGUGGGGGAUAACGUCCGGUAACAGGCGCUAAUAUCGCAUACGUCCUGAGGUAGAACGUGGGGGAUCUUCGGACCUCACGCUAUCAGAUGAGCCUAGGUCGGAUUAGCUAGUUGGUGGGGUAAAGGCCUACCAAGGCGACGAUCCGUAACUGGUCUGAGAGGAUGAUCAGUCACACUGGAACUGAGACACGGUCCAGACUCCUACGGGAGGCAGCAGUGGGGAAUAUUGGACAAUGGGCGAAAGCCUGAUCCAGCCAUGCCGCGUGUGUGAAGAAGGUCUUCGGAUUGUAAAGCUCUUUAAGUUGGGAGGAAGAGAAGUAUGUUAAUCCCUUGCUGUUUUGACGUUACCAACAGAAUAAGCACCGGCUAACUUCGUG
rnacentral:rRNA from 1 species